rnacentral:rRNA from 1 species
UACGUAGGGGGCAAGCGUUGUCCGGAAUCAUUGGGCGUAAAGCGCGUGUAGGCGGCUCGGUAAGUCCGCUCUGAAAGUCCAGGGCUCAACCCUGGGAUGCGGGUGGAUACUGCCGGGCUCGAGUCCGGAAGAGGCGAGUGGAAUUCCCGGUGUAGCGGUGAAAUGCGCAGAUAUCGGGAGGAACACCAAUGGCGAAGGCAGCUCGCUGGGACGUGACUGACGCUGAGACGCGAAAGCGUGGGAGCAA